rnacentral:rRNA from 1 species
CAGUUCCUACGGGACGCAGCAGUGGGGAAUCUUCCGCAAUGGGCGCAAGCCUGACGGAGCAAUGCCGCGUGAACGAAGAAGGUCUUCGGAUUGUAAAGUUCUGUUGAAGGGGAAAAAGAGCGGAGAGAGGAAAUGGUCUCCGAUUGAUAUUACCCUUCGAGGAAGUCACGGCUAACUACGUGCCAGCAGCCGCGGUAAUACGUAGGUGGCGAGCGUUAUCCGGAAUGAUUGGGCGUAAAGGGUGCGUAGGCGGCCUGCUAAGUCUGGAGUGAAAGGUACCGGCUCAACCGGUACAGGCUCUGGAA